rnacentral:rRNA from 1 species
AUUGAACGCUGGCGGCAUGCCUUACACACGCAAGUCGAACGGCAGCCCGGGUGCUUGCACCUGGUGGCGAGUGGCGAACGGGUGAGUAAUACAUCGGAACGUACCUUAUCGUGGGGGAUAACGCAGCGAUAGCUGUGCUAAUACCGCAUACGCCGUGAGGGGGACAGCGGGGGAUCGAAAGACCUCGCGCGAUUAGAGCGGCCGAUGCCUGAUUAGCUUGUUUGUGGGGUAAAAGGCCACCAAGGCGACGAUCAGUAGCGGGUCUGGAAGGACGAUCAGCCACACUGGGACUGAGACACGGCCCAGACUCCUACGGGAGGCAGCAGUGGGGAAUUUGGGACAAUGGGGGCAACCCUGAUCCAGCAAUGCCGCGUGAGUGAAUAAGGCCUUCGGGUUGUAAAGCUCUUUUGUCAGGGAAGAAACACCGGCUCUAACACAGUCCGGGAAUGACGGUACCUGAAGAAUAAGCACCGGCUAACUACGUGCCAGCCGCCGCGGUAA